GACUUAAAUACAACCCACAGAAGUGCUGGCUUGGCUGGCAAAACUUUUGCUAAACAGAAGAGCAACAUUUUUUUCUUUUCUUUUCUGGACUUUGCAAACAGCAUUGAUUCUCAGCCUUGCCUUCCAAACGUUCCAGCUGGAACAUUGCUGGGCAGCGUGGACACAGACGCGAACGUCAUCCAGGCCGGCAGGGGGCGGCAGACCCCACACUUCGCCGCGCGCCCCGGCCUCCCUGGGAGGGAGAGUCCAGCUGCCAAUGCCUGUCGCAGGUUUGGUCCCAAGCGACUUCAGCCAGCAGACGGUUCCAGUUCUGAGGCUGCAAAAUUCGGCUCCUUCCACAGACUGACCUUCUUUUGUGCCAUCAGUGUGAUCCUGUGUCCGCUAUGCAAAGCACUGUUUACUGAAUCUGGUGGAAAAGCACUGUUUACAAUAGCAAAGACCUGGAAUCAACCCAAAUGCCCUGGAUUGGAAAAAUGUGGCACAUAUACAUCAUGGAAUAUUAUGCAGCAAUCAGAAAUGAUGAGUUUGUGUCGUUUGUAGGGACAUGGAUGAAUCUGGAGAACAUCAUCCUCAGCAAACUGACACAAGAACAGAAAAUGAAACACCACAUAUUCUCACUCAUAGGCGGGUGAUGAAAAAUGAGAACACAUGGACACAGAAAGGGGAGUACUAAACACUGGGGUCUAUCGGAGGGGAAAAGGGGAGGGCUA
rnacentral:lncRNA from 13 species